AAAAAAAAAAAAAAAAAAGAGACAUCUGCUCAAAACAUAUAUUUGAACUAAUGUAUGGAAUGUGGAUGGUUUGAUUGUGGCACGAUUUGAGUAGUAAUAUAUCUGAUCUUGUAUCAAAACUGAUUGGAACACGAGAAGUCUUCUGAGACUGAAUGGCUUUUAUAAGGUGGCAAUAUCAAUAUGCAUGGUUAUUCCAAUCUUGCAAUGCAAAUCUUGGGUUGUGGGGAAGAGUAUGCUAUCCAUUUCAUCCUGCCUCUUUACUUUUAUUUUAUGGUCUUUGACAUGGCAGA
rnacentral:misc_RNA from 1 species